CCUAGAAAUGGACUGCUUCAGUGUCCCCGUCACCUGCUGAGAUAAAGCAUCUCUUCAGCCAGUCAGCUGUACUGCAGAGAGUGCCAAAAUACUACCCUGGCCAUCAGAAGACCUGGGAUGUAUGAGAUGGAGGAGGAGACCUGGAGCCAGCAGCUUAUACCUUCAGUUCAAUUGUGCCAGAUGUGACGUAGGAGGCUGGAAAACCUCAGGCCAGAGGACACUCCAGCCUGGAGGACAAGGAGCCACAUGCAGGCCUUCGCCUCAUCAGUGGAGCAAAGUAUUGCUUUAGCACCAGCAGUACUCGGAGUUCAGGUGCAUAUUCCACGUCUUCCUUUGCUAAGUCUCACAAAGACUACAGGCUGCCAGGAAGGAAGCAGGCCCACAACAGUAGAGAGAGAAAACAGAGUUCAGAGCUUCCAGCUCCAUACUCAUCAACCCAGGACCUCAUUCCUGGUUCUUGAGCUCAUGUGAGGAUGCUCUUUGCAAUGUCUGAUCCAUCCCUGUCCUGUACAUUGAAAGAUUUCCACCACUUUCAGCAGACUCUGGAUUAGCUCCAUAGCACACUACAAGAAAUACCCAGGAGAGAUGUGCUGCAGCUGGCACUGAAACCCUGCCAGGAUCAGCCAGAUGAUUAUGGACAUUGCCUUGAGGGACAUGAAGUUCACCAUGGCUCCAGCUUUUGAAAUCCUAGCUGUGCUUUUACUGGGAGGUUACUUAGGCUGUGGUUUCACAUGAAUCUCAUGGAAUCACAGAAAACAGGGUGUGUAAAGUGAUACCAGAUGUCUAUGAGAAGCAGCUGAACCCCGCCUCUCGCUGAGGGUGGUGAAGCACUGG